AACGAACGCUGGCGGCAGGCCUAACACAUGCAAGUCGAGCGCUGUAGCAAUACAGAGCGGCAGACGGGUGAGUAACGCGUGGGAAUUUACCUGGAGGUACGGAAUAGCCCAGGGAAACUUGGGGUAAUACCGUAUAAGCCCGAGAGGGGAAAGAUUUAUCGCCUUCAGAUGAGCCCGCGUUGGAUUAGCUAGUUGGUGAGGUAAUGGCUCACCAAGGCGACGAUCCAUUGCUGGUUUGAGAGAAUGACCAGCCACACUGGGACUGAGACACGGCCCAGACUCCUACGGGAGGCAGCAGUGGGGAAUCUUGGACAAUGGGCGCAAGCUUGAUCCAGCCAUGCCGCGUGAGUGACGAAGGUCUUCGGAUUGUAAAGCUCUUUUGGCGGGGACGAUAAUGACGGUACCCGCAGAAUAAGCCCCGGCUAACUUCGUGCCAGCAGCCGCCGUAACAC
rnacentral:rRNA from 1 species